ACAAUAGGAACGACAUCAACAGGAUUUUGGGUCCUAAGGAUUCUUCUAUCUCUUUCAAGGAUUCUACUUGUAGGUGCUUUGGGUACAUGGUUUCCAAGAAGAAAUAAAUCUAUACCAUUGAUGAUGACUGCUUUGUUUCUUGUGGUUCUCCUUGUAGCAUGCUGCUCAUUUGUUGUUAUUGGUGGUUUCCUGUUCUUCAACUUUAGAUUUAGGACUAAGACAACCAAGGUUAGAAGGGGAAGAAUAUUUAUCAAUUAUUGAUGAGUACAUCGAAGCGGUUUUAACACGUUGGCCUAAGGCUAUUGUACAGGUUUCUCUCUUUCAGAAGUGAGACUUUUGUUUUAUGCUCAUACCAUGAUGUUUAUUUGAUGGUUACCCCAUUUAGUUUGAGGAUUUUCAAAUGAAGUGGGCCUUUGAAACUCUGAAACGCUAUCGGGAAAGGUUUUGCAUGUUUAAUGAUGACGUACAGGGAACUGCUGGAGUUGCACUUGCUGGAUUGUUAGGAACUGUAAGAGCACAAGGUCGAUCUUUGGAUGACUUUCCAAACCACAAGAUUGUUGUGGUGGGAGCUGGAAGGUAUUUGGCUGACUUAUAAAGCUU